rnacentral:misc_RNA from 1 species
ACCAAAACCCAAAUCCCAUUUGAAAAUUAAUAAUUUCAAGCUCACAUAUUGGAUUUCUUCAAGACCCAUGGAACUCCAAAUGUCCAAAUUCAGAAUCUCAUCUUGGCUCAAGAAUCUUCAGGGAAAUCCAAAAGCUCUGCAAAUAAGAAAAGUAGGAAUUACAAGCCAAAGCCUAGUGCGGUAGCGCCAAACCGACAAUGCGUUAAUAGCCAUAAUCUCUACAAAAUGCACAUCCACCAUUGCCAGUACUGCAAUUGUCUUCGCCUCUACCUCCACCUCCACAAUUGAGUCUUCAAGAUUGGUGCCAACCUAAUUGUUGCCGCAAUCAAGUCAAUCGUGAUGGGUUUGGCUCCUAAAAAAUUGAGUGUAUGCUAGUUUUGAUUAGGGUGAUUCUA